rnacentral:rRNA from 1 species
GACGAACGCUGGCGGCGUGCCUAAUACAUGCAAGUAGAACGCUGAAGAGAGGAGCUUGCUCUUCUUGGAAGAGUUGCGAACGGGUGAGUAACGCGUAGGUAACCUGCCUUGUAGCGGGGGAUAACUAUUGGAAACGAUAGCUAAUACCGCAUAACAAUGGGUGACCCAUGUCAUUCAUUUGAAAGGGGCAACUGCUCCACUACAAGAUGGACCUGCGUUGUAUUAGCUAGUAGGUGAGGUAACGGCUCACCUAGGCGACGAUACAUAGCCGACCUGAGAGGGUGAUCGGCCACACUGGGACUGAGACACGGCCCAGACUCCUACGGGAGGCAGCAGUAGGGAAUCUUCGGCAAUGGGGGCAACCCUGACCGAGCAACGCCGCGUGAGUGAAGAAGGUUUUCGGAUCGUAAAGCUCUGUUGUAAGUCAAGAACGAGUGUGAGGGUGGAAAGUUCACACUGUGACGGUAGCUUACCAGAAAGGGACGGCUAACUACGUGCCAGCAGCCGCGGUAAUACGUAGGUCCCGAGCGUUGUCCGGAUUUAUUGGGCGUAAAGCGAGCGCAGGCGGUUUGAUAAGUCUGAAGUUAAAGGCUGUGGCUCAACCAUAGUUCGCUUUGGAAACUGUCAAACUUGAGUGCAGAAGGGGAGAGUGGAAUUCCAUGUGUAGCGGUGAAAUGCGUAGAUAUAUGGAGGAACACCGGUGGCGAAAGCGGCUCUCUGGUCUGUAACUGACGCUGAGGCUCGAAAGCGUGGGGAGCGAACAGG